AGUGAACGCUGGCGGUAGGCCUAAUACAUGCAAGUCGAACGGCAGCACAGUAAGAGCUUGCUCUUACGGGUGGCGAGUGGCGGACGGGUGAGGAAUACAUCGGAAUCUACUUUUUCGUGGGGGAUAACGUAGGGAAACUUACGCUAAUACCGCAUACGACCUACGGGUGAAAGCAGGGGAUCUUCGGACCUUGCGCGAUUGAAUGAGCCGAUGUCGGAUUAGCUAGUUGGCGGGGUAAAGGCCCACCAAGGCGACGAUCCGUAGCUGGUCUGAGAGGAUGAUCAGCCACACUGGAACUGAGACACGGUCCAGACUCCUACGGGAGGCAGCAGUGGGGAAUAUUGGACAAUGGGCGCAAGCCUGAUCCAGCCAUACCGCGUGGGUGAAGAAGGCCUUCGGGUUGUAAAGCCCUUUGUUGGGAAAGAAAAGCAGCAGGUUAAUACCCCGCUGUUCUGACGGUACCCAAAGAAUAAGCACCGGCUAACUUCGUG
rnacentral:rRNA from 1 species